GUGGGUGUAGCUUGGUGGUAGAGCCCAUGCUUAGCAUGCAUGAGGUCCUGGGUUCAAUCCCCAGUACCUUCA
rfam:Camelus ferus unplaced genomic scaffold scaffold519, whole genome shotgun sequence.